rnacentral:rRNA from 1 species
GCCUUGGAGGGCUUGCUCUUCAAGGUUAGUGGCGGACGGGUGCGUAACACGUGAGCAACUUGUCCUACGGUGGGGGAUAGCCGGCCCAACGGCCGGGUAAUACCGCGUAUUGCAUCGGCAUCGCAUGGUGCUGAUGUGAAAGCGGCCGCAAGGUCGCGCCGGAGGAGGGGCUCGCGGCGUAUCAGCUUGUUGGUGGGGUAACGGCCUACCAAGGCUACGACGCGUAGCUGGUCUGAGAGGAUGAUCAGCCACAUUGGGACUGAGAUACGGCCCAGACUCCUACGGGAGGCAGCAGUGGGGAAUAUUGCGCAAUGGCCGCAAGGCUGACGCAGCGACGCCGUGUGUGGGAUGAAGGCCCUCGGGUUGUAAACCACUGUCAGGAGGGACGAAUACUCGGCUUCAAAUAGUUGACCGAGGGUGACGGUACCUCCAGAGGAAGCACCGGCUAACUCCGUGCCAGCAGCCGCGGUAACACGGAGGGUGCGAGCGUUGUCCGGAUUCACUGGGCGUAAAGCGCGCGUAGGCGGUUCUGUAAGUCACCUGUGAAAUCCCGGGGCUCAACUCCGGGGCUGCAGGUGAUACUGCAAAGCUAGAGCUCGGUAGAGGCAAGUGGAAUUCCCGGUGUAGCGGUGGAAAGCGUAGAUAUCGGGAAGAACACCAGUGGCGAAGGCGGCUUGCUGGGCCGAUGCUGACGCUGAGGCGCGAAAGCGUGGGGAGCAAACAGGAUUAGAUACCCUGGUAGU